AACGAACGCUGGCGGCAUGCCUAAUACAUGCAAGUCGAACGAAGGCUUCGGCCUUAGUGGCGCACGGGUGCGUAACGCGUGGGAAUCUACCCUUGGGUUCGGAAUAACAGUUAGAAAUGACUGCUAAUACCGGAUGAUGACGUAAGUCCAAAGAUUUAUCGCCCAAGGAUGAGCCCGCGUAAGAUUAGCUAGUUGGUGAGGUAAAGGCUCACCAAGGCUACGAUCUUUAGCUGGUCUGAGAGGAUGAUCAGCCACACUGGGACUGAGACACGGCCCAGACUCCUACGGGAGGCAGCAGUAGGGAAUAUUGGACAAUGGGUGAAAGCCUGAUCCAGCAAUGCCGCGUGAGUGAUGAAGGCCUUAGGGUUGUAAAGCUCUUUUACCCGAGAUGAUAAUGACAGUAUCGGGAGAAUAAGCUCCGGCUAACUCCGUGCCAGCAGCCGCGGUAAAGUCUGUACU
rnacentral:rRNA from 1 species